GCGCUCGUGGUCCAAUGGAUAUGACGCAGGUCUCCGGAACCUGAGAUCGAGGUUCAAUUCCUCGCGAGCGCGCCA
rnacentral:tRNA from 2 species